ACCGUCUCAGGAUCUCACCUAGAGAGUAUCCAGUACUUUACCAGUCUUGGCUACAGGAAGGAGAGUCAAGCAGAGGCCUACCCAUUCUAUUCCUAGCUUGGGCAGUGGCUAGCGAGUGGAAGGCAAUCUGCUAGAAGU
rnacentral:snoRNA from 1 species